AAUUUUGUAUUAAAAAAUCAGACCACAAUUUGAUAAAAUUAGACUUGGAUAAAUUGGGUUUGGAUCUCAGGCCCAUUUGAUGGUCCUUUUUAAUAGGAAAAGAAGCUUCAUCAGCACUCAUUUCCCCCUUCACCAGCCAGCACCAGCCUCCACAGCUCUUCUUCUUCCACCUUUCCAUUUUCUCUUAAAAGUUUCACCUCCCACCUUUAGAUACUGUUUUCCAUGGAAACAACCUUCUAAGCUCAUGUAUUCCAUCACUUUAAUUAAUUUUAGUCUAAGGUUUAUAGAGUUUUAGUGAAAAAAGUUGAAGUCAAAGUGAGAAAGCUUUAAGAAGAGGGUGAGUACCGUAUCUUGACGGCACGUGUCCAUGGUCCAAGCUACCAGUCGGAUGAACUUAUUUUUCCAUAUUUGGAUGUCGUUGGAUUUGGAACAAUGGCAUUGAUUAGGAUGUUUGAGUUGAGGGUCGAUUUAAUAUCCGCCUUGGUUGAGAGGUGGCGCCCACCCGCACAAUUCGUUUGUCGUAUGGGGAGUGUACAAUCACUUUUGAAGAUGUCGCAUUGCAACCCAGGCUCCCAAUUGAUGAUGAUGUGAUCACGUAUUCAAUUAAAGUGUUUGACUGUGUCGUUUAUAGUAAAAUAUAACACCAAAAAUAUGUAUGAAUUUAGAACGGCGGUGUUUGUAAGUGCACGAGUUAAAUUGUAAUAUAGUUAGUACAACGAAAUACCUAAAAGUAUUCCGAGGAUCAUACCCAUGGGGGAUAGAACAAAUUAUGAAAGUUUUUUACAGUAAUAA